rnacentral:rRNA from 1 species
UACGUAGGGUGCGAGCGUUAAUCGGAAUUACUGGGCGUAAAGCGUGCGCAGGCGGUUUUGCAAGCCGGAUGUGAAAUCCCCGGGCUUAACCUGGGAAUGGCAUUUGGGACUGCAAGGCUGGAGUGCGGCAGAGGAGACUCGAAUUCCUGGUGUAGCAGUGAAAUGCGUAGAUAUCAGGAGGAACACCGAUGGCGAAGGCAGGUCUCUGGGCUGACACUGACGCUCAUGCACGAAAGCGUGGGGAGCAAACAGG